rnacentral:rRNA from 1 species
UACGGAGGGUGCAAGCGUUGCUCGGAAUUAUUGGGCGUAAAGCGCGUGUAGGCGGCCCGGUAAGUCCGCUGUGAAAGUCCAGGGCUCAACCCUGGGAUGCCGGUGGAUACUGUCGGGCUCGAGUCCGGAAGAGGCGAGUGGAAUUCCUGGUGUAGCGGUGAAAUGCGCAGAUAUCAGGAGGAACACCAAUUGCGAAGGCAGCUCGCUGGGACGUAACUGACGCUGAGACGCGAAAGCGUGGGGAGCAAACAGG